GGGCUAUUCUACUUAUGUCAGAAAUAUUUUCGAGCAUAAAUUAAAUGCUAGAUUAGACAAGUAUAGGUUUGUAGGAUAUCUUAAGGAAACUAAUGAAUACUACUUCUACCAUCCUACUGAACAAAAGGUAUUUAUUAUUUAAUAUGCCACUUUCUUAAAAAAAAUAUAUAUCCAAAAAGGGGGUAGUGGGAGAAAUGUCAAACUCGAGAAAGUUC
rnacentral:lncRNA from 1 species